rnacentral:rRNA from 1 species
UACGUAGGGAGCAAGCGUUGUCCGGAAUCAUUGGGCGUAAAGCGCGCGUAGGCGGCCCGAUAAGUCUGCUGUGAAAGUCCAGGGCUCAACCCUGGAAUGCCGGUGGAUACUGUCGGGCUAGAGUUCGGAAGAGGCAAGUGGAAUUCCUGGUGUAGCGGUGGAAUGCGCAGAUAUCAGGAGGAACACCUAUAGCGAAGGCAGCUUGCUGGGACGACACUGACGCUGAGGCGCGAAAGCGUGGGGAGCGAACAGG